AGUGAACGCUGGCGGUAGGCCUAACACAUGCAAGUCGAACGGCAGCACAGUAAGAGCUUGCUCUUACGGGUGGCGAGUGGCGGACGGGUGAGGAAUACAUCGGAAUCUACUUUUUCGUGGGGGAUAACGUCGGGAAACUUACGCUAAUACCGCAUACGACCUACGGGUGAAAGCAGGGGCUCUUCGGACCUUGCGCGAUUGAAUGAGCCGAUGUCGGAUUAGCUAGUUGGCGGGGUAAAGGCCCACCAAGGCGACGAUCCGUAGCUGGUCUGAGAGGAUGAUCAGCCACACUGGAACUGAGACACGGUCCAGACUCCUACGGGAGGCAGCAGUGGGGAAUAUUGGACAAUGGGCGCAAGCCUGAUCCAGCCAUACCGCGUGGGUGAAGAAGGCCUUCGGGUUGUAAAGCCCUUUUGUUGGGAAAGAAAAGCAGCAGGUUAAUACCCCGCUGUUCUGACGGUACCCAAAGAAUAAGCACCGGCUAACUUCGUG
rnacentral:rRNA from 1 species